UGGUCAAGUUAUUAAGGGUGCAGGGCGGAUGCCUUGGCACUAGGAGCCGAUGAAGGACGUGAUAAGCUGCGAUAAGCUUCGGGGAGUUGCACGUAAACUUUGAUCCGAAGAUUUCCGAAUGAGGAAACUCACUUAGAGUAAUGUCUAAGUAUCAUUAAGUGAAUACAUAGCUUAAUGAGGGGAACUCAGGGAACUGAAACAUCUAAGUACCUGAAGGAAGAGAAAGAAAUUCGAUUCCGUAAGUAGCGGCGAGCGAACGCGGAUUAGCCCAAACCAAUAAAGUUUUCUUUAUUGGGGUUGCGGACAUAUCAUAACGAAGAGGUAUCGUAAUUGAAGAGGUUUGGAAAGACCCACCACAGAAGGUAAUAGUCCUGUAUGUUAAACGAGAAGACUUUAGAUAUGAUCCAGAGUACCACGGGACACGUGAAACCCUGUGGGAAGCAGGAGGGACCACCCUCCAAGGCUAAAUAC
rnacentral:rRNA from 1 species